UGGACGUUCUCUCCUCGCCGCUGUCCACACACUACACAAAGACAUAUUUACAGCAUACAAGUAGCAUACUUUUUCUACAAGUUAAUUACAUUUUUACAAAAGCCGGUGCUUCAAGAUAUUAUUAUGCUUUUUUUUUUAAAUACAUUUUAUGACCUGGUAACUAAGACCUUUAAGUCAUGUCUUAUUUUAAUUUAUAUUCAUAUUUUUAUGGAAAAUGAUAUUAUGGAGUGAAAUGAAAUGAAGAUGAUUAAUUUGAGACAUUAAUCAACUGGGAUGAAACUAAAUGAAAAGAGAUGUUAAUGGAUGAAAAAUAAUUACAGUAAAAUGGUGGCCAUUUACUGAGAUUUUUUCAGUAGACUUUUUGGAGGAUCCCGAGAAGCUACGUCCAGCAACUUUGUCUCAUUUUCCCACGUUUGUGCACUCUCACAGAUAUUAAACAGUUAAUAAACCACCGUUAUUACGCAUUUAAACCCGAAGAAACACUAAAUAGACAAAAUAAAACAAAUCACACAACUUCACUCCUCACAUUCCCGCCACAAAGUCCUAUGUCAAUUUAGCUAAUCUGCAGACACAGAUUAUACUAACAGUAAAUUUUUAAUAGUUUAAAAACUUUCAAUCUGCUAUUUAGUUCAAGUUGGCAUGUGAAUAUGGUCUAAUUUUUAAAUGGUAAAUUAUUAGACAAUAUUAUUAGGCAGUAGUAUUUUUAAGGCGUAUUAUUUUGCAGACUAUCAAACUUAAUUUUAAUAUACCUACUAUGUAUUUCGGAUAAUUUGAAUUCAAACAAAUGGCAACUGUUCGGAUUUUAAACGUUGGACCGUGAAUUUGCGAUUUGGUUUUUAACAUUUGUAAAUGUUAAUUACACAUCUUAAAGGUACAUUAAUUUAUAGAAAAUAAUAUAAAAAUUUUGGUAACGAUACAGGACUCAUUUUUAAUUUCGUUAAAUUUAGGAACUAGAUCUAGGUACAUAUGAAAUACCGUUUUUUUUAAAUACUGUUCCUUAGGCAUUAAAAAAAGAUUCUCUCUAAAUUCAAACUUUCUUAGAUUCUAGAUUAUAGCAAGAGUUUUUAGUUGGCUGUCUUGAAACACAGGCUUACCUAGCUUUGUACUUUUUUGUACUACAGUAUUAAGGAGGAGGAGGAGAGAUAAGGAGAAUUAUGUCUUAUGGGAGACAAGUUAAAAAAAAAAACCAGCUAUAAACAUUAAAUUACAACUCAGAAACCCACCAAAAUAGCGUUAGCAUAGCCAGUGAUGCGAUAUAAAUGUAGCCGUUGUAAACUAAGCGAAGUGUGCUGAGUUUAUAAGUUACAAUAACAUUUAAGACGCCAUAUUGUAAAUGACACCGCUUGCUACAGUAACGCCAUCUAUAUUGGUUGUUUUUCCACUGACAGUUUAUGAUACACAGAGAGGGUACUCCUCAGUUCUAUUCUACUUAAGUAUAUGUGUUUGACAUGUUAGAAAGUUAGAAUUAUUAAUAAGGAUGAUAUUAGAGUUGUGUCUGUAUAUUCAAUUUUGUUUUUUGAAUGCGUUUCUGUGUGUGUGUCUGUGUGUGUAGUGUUUGAUUGGUAGUGUUGGCUUACGUCAAAAUCGCCGAUAGUGAACUUAGUGCUGGCGGCCUCCGCGACGAGCUGCGCGGGGGCGGGGGGCGCGGUCUCCGGCGACAGAACCUACACACCGACCGGCAAGCACACGUGCGAGUGUUAGUCGUGACCAGGGUUGCCAGCUCUUAAUAAUCGAUUUCUACUAUCGCGACAUUCCACAGACUAUUAUUUAACGGGAACUCGUUAAUUGUGGAAUCUGUGGAUAGCCCGUUAAAUAAUUGUGUGUGUUUAAGCUAUUUAUACAGUAAAAGCUCUUUAGUCGCAGCGUAUAUGUUCUGACUUCUGUAAUUAUGUCGCGAAUACAGAAACCGUGAAUAUGGAAUGGUAAUUUACAUAUAUGGGAUUAUAAGCCAUAUCAUUUAACAAUAUACUUUAGGCAUAUUUGUAAUAAGGCCUAUUUUACUUUUUUAUUAUUUCAUUUGAGGACGUGCUUACAAAGGAUAUUGGAUUCGAUACCUACAUAUUGGAAUACUUUUUACCUAUGUGUACGUACAGAUUAAAUUCGCGAAAACAGAAGUCUGUAGUCGUACUGGGUCGCAUUUUUUUUAUCCGCGAAUGAAGGAAGUGCGAAUAAGAAGCUUUUACUGUAAUUACUUUAUUGACUAUGAAUUUUGAGACCGCACCUUUGGGAAAGUUUUACACUUCCAUUAUUUAGAAUUGUGCCAUCAGAGUACAGAAUGGAAUAAAGUGCAUAGUUAAAGUACAGUUGCUGGCAACCCUAGUUGAAACCCAAAUGAAAUGAGUCAAUGAUACCCUGUUUUUCGAAUACCACUGUUUAAAAUCCAUGAGUGGACGAAGGAGCGGUAUAUAAUUCGUUUUUUAAUUAUUUAUUUGUUAAAUGAAUUCAGUUUCAACCUUUUUCUUGGUACGGAAAUACACCUGCAACCAACUCAAGUGCAUCUAUUUUCUGUCAUCUAUAAUAGAUGUUGUCAAUGUCAGAGUUAUGGCCAAGCUGGUUCCGGAUGUAAUUUAACAGAAGUCUAUUAAAUAUAUUAACUAUGGAAGCCCUUUUUUAAAAAAUAAGUACCACGGGUUUUAACAAGCCAAGGGCAAAUUUAUUUAAAGAAAAGUAAACUAAAAGUAUUUUUAUAUUAGGUUGCCAAUUAUAUUCUACGUCCUUUGUCCAUUCAUGUUUUUUAUACAAAUGUUCAAUUAAUCUAAAAUGUUACUAUUUUUUAUGUAUUUUUAGUAUUGUUAAUAAAAAAGAAAUGAGCUAA